UAGGUGCGCAGCUGAUAUCAAUGGACAGUGCCCGAAUCAGCUCAGGGCCAGCGGAGGCUGCAACAAUCCUUGCACUGUCUUCAAGACAGAUCAAUACUGUUGCAAUUCUGGCAACUGUGGCCCAACAGAUUACUCAGGUUUUUCAAGCAGAGGUGCCCUGACGCUUAUAGUUAUCCUAAAGAUGACCAAACAAGCACCUUCACCUGUCCCGGUGGAACUAAUUACAGGGUUGUAUUCUGCCCUUGAAGCAGUUUUAAGCCAGGAAUAAUGGUGUAAAAUGAGAAUAAGGACCAUUGCUCGAUUCACUUCUGACGGUGUGAAUUGCUGCAAGGUCACAUGCUUUAUUAUAAUGAAAAUCUACUACAAUAUUAACAGUGGCAAGACCCUUUAUUUGCUCUAGCUGUUAAAUACCCAGACAAAGUGUGUUCAUGCUUUCGGAGCAUAUCCAGCCCAGAAGCACUUUCUUCAUUUCUAACCAUGGAAACUACAAAAUACAACUAUGCUGCAAGAAAUUACCUUAAAUAAAACGAUUUAAGUACUGCUCAUGUUUGUUAGCUUCUUCCAACACGGUAAUCCAUUUUCCUUUUAUAUUAAUCAUCUGUCUUUUGUUGCCAAAACCAUUCUUUCCUUUUUUGUUUAAUCUUUGUUAAAAUCUGUUGCUUCCAAGCACUUAACAAGAUCAGUAAGGCAUGCAAUAACACAGGUCAACAGAAAAUACUGAAGGGGAGGUAAAUUAAAAUUGUAAUAUAUAAAUACAUAACUGAUACGGAGGUGGAUCAAUAGAAAAUUUCUCCCCUUUCAUUUUCUUUUUUGGAAAAUUCGUAGUCGUGACCUUGUUCGUGACUAAACUGGGAAAGUCACCUCCAUCUUCUAGCAGAAGCACCACCUUACAACUAAAAUUUACAUGUUCUUCAUCUCCUGGUUGAAGCAGUAUGCAGUUGCUUGACUCACCGAAUCAUCCGAAAGCACUGCGCCUACUGAAAAGUUAUCACAUGAGUGGAAAUACCUGCAAAUAUGAUCAGGUUGUGGUAAAAAAUCACCAUAACAGCAAACUACAAGGAAUAACCAAAUCAAAUGAACAUAAAGCACUGCAGCUUCUAAUUAAUCAUAGCAAUCAUAAGUGAUAUCAUACCAUCGUUAAAAUCCCAUCUGACAGGCCUCUUCAUAUAAACAUCCUCAUAGUACCAUAUAGUGUCCAUCUUCUCCCACACAUUGCAUAGAUACCCAUCAGUGGCAGCAGUCCCUAUAUAUUGGGCUCCAUCAAGAAAAUCAGGCCUAGGAAUACCCACAUCAUUAACCAUAAUCCGACAGCUAUGAGGCUCGCUUAAAGUGUAAUAGAAGGUUGUCCCAUUAUUCCACUCCGUGUCGUACAACAAAACAGAUAGUUGUUUCUGUAUUAUAUUCACAUUGCGGCCUCUAGGCCAAUCAUACCAUGGUGAUUUGGAGGCCUGUUGAGCUCAAGUUUAUAAACAAAAGUGCAUGGAAUUGUUCAGGCCAUGGAGCAGGAAUUGGGGUUGAUGAGUACUCUGGCUCAGGCCGUUGAAGUGAAGGGUCUAUGAGUUGGAGGACUCUGGCUCAUCUAUAUAUAUAUAAACUAAAAUAUUCUAAACUAAAAUAUUUGAUUUAUAUUUAUUUUAAAAAAGGGGGGGAUGAAUAAUAAAUAUUAAAAAUAAUAGAAAUUAAUGGAGUAAAAAUUAUUAUCUAAGGAGGUUAAUGUUGGGUAAGGAUGAAAUUGAAUAAGUCAAACUUUUGAGCCAAAUGCUUUUAAAACAAAACAAGGAAGUCCUUAAAUGAAAAGGAGGAAAAACUUGUAAAUAUAUAAACAAGUGGGGAGUGAGAAAUUAGCCAUGUUGGCCGGCCAUGUUAGGGCUUGAGAGGGAGAAGAAAUUGAGUGAAAAUUUAUCAAAGUUUAUCCAAAACAAUUCACCAAAAAAAAAAGAAGUUGAUAGAACUAGUGAACAAAGUAUUUUAGGAAGGGUUUGAAUAAGAAAAUCUCAAAAGAGGAAAUAAGGAAUUUUUCCUUAAAGGGGGUGGUAUUGAGAUAAAUAAGGGGGGAAGAAAGAAAUUUUUGUGGUGAUUUCAAGCUUCUUAUUUCUUAUUUUUUUGAGUUAGAAGGUAACAAAUCCUUUCCACUCAAUUAAAUUGAUGUAUUUAGUAUAUUAAGAUUUCAUUUAAUUGUAUUAGUGUAUAGUUAUGGUAUGAGUUGUGGUUUGUCGCACCCGACACCGCGACAACCCUAAAAAUAAUCCUUGAUUAUGGAAAAAGAACAAAUUUUUGGCAUUUUGUUCUUUUAGGAAAAAUGAUCUUGUUUAAGGAGUCCCCACCUUGUUUUAUGGUCACUAGGAACCCUAACUGGUCAACAUAGAUUCUAUGGCUCGGGAUUGGUUACGUAAAAGGAAAAAUAUUAUCACCCCUUAAACGUUCUGCUUGAGGCAGACUGCAUUGCUGGUUUUGUCUUAAAUUGCUAAAUGUUUAUUAGUUUAUGCUAUGAUAAUUUGAGUAUAAUAUUCCUGACUCUGGCGCCAGUGAAUAUUCACAUAAAAAAAAUAUUUUUUUUAAGCAUGGAUAUAUUUUUUUUCUAGCUAAAUAAAAUAAAAUACAAUGAAUAAAAAUAAUAUAAAUUUAAACCGAUAUUUUUAUUCUUGACUUUGGCGUUAGUGAAUAAACCAUUAAUUUUUUUUUUUGCAUACAUAUUUUUAUUUAUUUAUUUUUUUACCUUUUUUCUACUUUUUUAUUCUUUAUUUUUUUAUUGAUGUUGCAUGGUAAAAAAAAAAAGGUUUGGGUCACUGGUCCAAACGAGUGACCCGGCUGCCACUGUUGCAUGCAUGCGUGAAUCACUCACGCAUGCAUGCAACAGUAACAGGGUAAUUAAUUUGCCAAAAGAAAGAGAACUGAAGCACUUACCUGGCAAGGCUGAGGUGAAAGAAUUAAAUUACAACUGAAAUUGCUUGAGUAAAACUGUGUUUACUCAGCCAUAUAUAUAUACGUAAAGUCUGUUACAAUGAGAACUCUUUAUAAGAGUUGUAGUUACAGAGGGAUGUUGCAGAGACAGGAAGAAACAGAGAACUGGAACAUUGAAACUCUAGGUAACAAAUAUCAGUGUUUAUCGUCAAUCUUAGUAUUGUGAACUUUAUCCUUAUCAUUCCCCUGUAAACUGGCAGGGACAUCUGUCACAAAAGUUUAUCUCGGAGGUAACAGAACCGAUCAGUCGUGUGUCCCUUGGUAAAAAUAUAUGCAGGUUGCAGAGAGGUGGGAACAUGUUGAAGUAGUAUAUCUUUAUUUGCCACCUUUUCUCUGACAAAGUGGUAAUCCACUUCAAUGUGUUUCGAUCGGGCAUGGAAAAUAGGAUUGGAGGCAAGAGCUAAGGCACUUAUAUUGUCACACCAUACGACUGGAGCAGAAGCAAGAGAAACCUGCAACUCACGCAACAACAUUCUUAGCCAAUACACCUCAGCUGUAACUAGAGCUAAACACCUGUAUUCAGCUUCAGUACUGGAUUUUGACACUACAGGUUGUUUCUUAGCAGACCAAGAUAUGAGAUUGGACCCAACAAAAACACCAUAGCCACAGGUGGAGCGUCUGUCGUCAGGAUCACCGGCCCAAUCAGAGUCACAAUAGGCAUUGAUUGCAAAGGAACCAGGUCUGUAGAAGAGACCAUAAUCAAGUGUUUGUUUUAAGUAUCGUAGCACGCGUUUGGCUGCUGUCCAGUGAGCUGAAGUAGGCGCUUGCAUGUGAGAGUUACAUACUGUAAAGCCCCCACUGUUUGCCUAUAUUCAGAUGGGUCUGGAAUACUUUCUCCAUCAAACUUGGAUAGCUUAGACCCGGAGACACAAGGUGCACGGUAUGGGCGGAUACCAGUAAGCUGCACACGGUCCAGAAGAUCAAUUAUAUACCUUGUUUGUCGAAGAUGUAACCCUGAAGAAUUGCAUAUGGCCUUAAUUCCCAGAAAAUAUGUCAACUGACCAAGAUCCUUCAUAGCAAACUCAAGUUGUAAUUGAGAUAUAAGAGUGAUAAUAAAAUUCUGAUCAUUUGAGGUAACCAGAAUGUCAUCCACGUAAACUAAGAAGAAUGCAUGGACAUUGUCACGAUGACAGAUAAAUAGUGAGGGAUCAACUUGUGAACUUUGAAAAUCAAGAGCCAAAAGAGCAGUAGAUAGUCGAUUAAACCAGGCACGGGGAGCUUGUUUCAACCCGUAAAGAGAUUUAUGAAGCUUACAAACGAAUUGGGGGUGUGCAGGAUCAACAAAUCCUUUGGGUUGUGUCAUAUAAAUGUCCUCUUCUAACACACCAUGAAGGAAGGCGUUAGAGACAUCAAGUUGACGAAUAUCCCAAUUGAAAGAAACAACGAUGGCAAGAACCAUUAAGAGUUGUAGUUACAGAGGGAUUUGUUUACAGAGACGGGAAGAAACAAAGAACUAGGAACAUUGAAACUCUAGGUAACAGAUAUCAGUGUUUAUCGUCAAUCUUAGUAUUGUGAACUUUAUCCUUAUCAUGAGGGACACGACUGCUUCAAUAGAGGACUGAUGGAUGCUCACGGUGUGGAAGAGCUACUGGGGUGGCGCAGCUACGGGGUGAAGGCGAAGAUGAAGGUGGCGCUCGGUUAGCUCUGGCCGGACGAUGUCUCCUCCCUCCUGGUUUCUUGUCUAUCAGUCCUCUCUCUCCCGGUCUCUCCCUCUUUUCUCCUUCUUCUUCUGUUCCUGGAAUCUGCUGCUUUGCUAACGAAGAUGGCGGUGUGGAAGGGCUGUUCCACCAACAUUGCUUGCUCUCCUCUGUUUCAGCUUUCCUUGUUCUGUCGUCUUUUUCUUUUCUGUUUCGGUUUGUUCCCCUGCUCAUCGUUCUUUUUCUUCUCUUCUGCUCGUGGCCUCUUCUGUUUCUUUGAGAAGAAAACAGAGGAACACAAGUCUGCUCUUAUUUCUCCUCUAGUCCCCCUGUUUUUCUGCGUUAUUCCUCUGUUUCUUAUUCGUUUACAGUCACUUUUCUGUUCUAUCUAUUCUGCCUUUCCUCCCCGUUUCCCUGGUUUUUUUGUGUCUGGGUUUAGCUUCCUUAUCCCCCCCUGUUCGUGGCUCUCUUUUUUUCGUCCCUUCCCCCUUUCGGUUCUGCCCUUUUCUCCUCUCUCCCCCCAGUUCGUGGCUUUCUUCUUUAGCCUCCUCUGUUUCUUUGAGCAGAAACAGAGGAAUGAAAGUCCUUUUUAUUCUAGUCUCCCCAGUUUUUUUCUUCCCUCCUCCCUGGGUUUUUUCUGCCUCUUGCGCUCUCUCAUCAUCUCUGGCUUUAUAGCCAGAGAAUGCCAAGCAUCUCUACUAUUGAAACGGCUUCACAGCCAUUACUGCCAGAAACGACCCCUGAAGAAGAAAGCGAAGAAGGCGAAGAAGGCGAUGAACAGCUUCUAAAAACGGUGUUGUUUGUGUGAUGGGAAUGGCCAUUUUCAAUCUGGUCACUGAAUUCCAAAAUCAUGCAAUCAAGCCCCUGGAUAAAUUGUAAUUGGACCCCUGCAUUUCGGCCCCAUUUUCAGGCUUGUCCUUGGAUUUUAAUUUGUGCAAUUUGGACCCCAAUUAAACCCCAAACUUUUCUAUUUCUUCAAUUAAGUCCCUGAUUUCAUUAAUUUAAUUAAAUCCAAAGUCCAAUUAAGUCUAAAACUUAUCAAUUCUCCAAUUAAACCCUUGAUUGGAUGAAUUAAAUUAAUUUCAAGCUUAAUUAAGUAUAAUAAUUUAUCAAUUCUCCAAUUAAACCCUUAAUUGGAUUAAUUAAAUUAAUUCCAAGCUUAAUUAAGUCUCAAAACUUAUCAAUUCUCCGAUUAAACUCUUGGUUGGAUGAAUUAAAUUAAUUUCAAGCUUAAUUAAGUCUAAAAAUUUAUCAAUUCUCCAAUUAAACCCUUAAUUGGAUUAAUUAAAUUAAUUCCAAGCUCAAUCAGGUCUAAAAAUUUAUCAAUUCUCCAAUUAAACUCUUAAUUGGAUUAAUUAAAUUAAUUAAAUUAAUUCCAAGCUUAAUUAGAUUAAUUUCAAAGUUUAAUUAAACCCCAAAACUUCCAAUCAUUUUGCCCUUAACCCAAAAUUUAAUUCAUUCUUUAUUUUUUUCAUUUUACUUGUUUUCCAUCAUCAUCAUCAUCAUCAUCAUCAUCAUCAUCAUCAUCAUCAUCAUCAUCAUCAUUAUUAUUAUUUCAUCAUUUGUUUUUAUCCUUUUCAAUAAAUAAAAUAAUAAUAAUAAUUAAAAUAAAAUGGUCAAAAUUGGGUUAUGACAAGGUUGAUUGGGUUAAUUUAUGAAAUUGUGAUGAAUUAAUGUUUAAAUAAAUAAAAUAAUAGCAGGUAAUGUUUUAAUUUGUGAAAUUGAAGAAAAAUUAUUGGUUUUUUUUUUAGAAGGGAUUUCGGCCUAGAAAAAAAAUAAAUGAAAAUAUUGAAUCAAUAAUUGAUAAUUAAAUGAGUUAUGUGGUAAUGUUGAUGAUGAAUAAAUUAUAUUAGUGAUGAGUUAAUAUUGUUGUUUGAUAAUUAAAUGAAUUAUGCGGUAAUGUUGAUGAUGAAGAAAUUAUAUUAGUGAUGACAUGAUAUUAUUGAUUGAUAAUUAAAUGAGUUAUGUGGUAAUGUUGAUGAUGAAGAAAUUAUUUUAGUGAUGAGUUGAUAUUGUUUGAUUGUUAAUUAAAUGAGUUAUGUGGUAAUGUGUUGAUGAAGUAAUUAAAUUAGUAAUGAGUUGUUAUUGUUGGGUUGAUAAUUAAAGUGAUUUUGUUGAUGAAAUAAUUAAAUUGAUGACAAGUUGAUUUUGUUGAUAUAUAAUUAAAUUGGUGAUGUGGUGACAUUAUUGAUGUAAUAAUUUAAUUAAUAACAAAAUGAAUUUGUAGGAAUAGGCAAGGCUACAAGAACCACUCAGCAGACAUGUUUAACCAAUAGGACAUAAACACCAGACAUAUGUAUAACACCUUGAAUAUUUUUGUUUUUCUAAACUUUAGAUAUUGAAGUUAUCUCCACGAUCAAUGAAAUUUUAUGCAUCAUGCUAAUAGAUUUUCCCAUGAUAAUUUAUUUUGUGAAUGGACGACCGGUGGACUAGUUAUCCUGGUAUGAAACUGGUGCCUUGUGAAUAAACGGUUGGUGGUCCAGUUAUCAUGGACAAUUUUAAAUUUUAGAUUAUUGAUUUGUGACUAGUAUUUGAAAAAUUGAUAGUAAAUUUGAAAAUUGCUCUAUGAGUAACUACUACACACACACGCUCCAUCAAUUUACCCGGGGGAGCUAUGGUGUUAUUUGUAAAGAAGACAGAUGGAACUCUUCGGCUCUGUAUUGAUUACAGACAGUUGAAUAAGGUGAUAAUAAAAAAACAAAUAUCUGCUUUCACAUAUCAAUAAUUUAUUUGAUCAACUCAAGGGAGCCAGGUAUUUUCAAAGGUGGAUCUAAGAUUCGAGCACUACAAACUAAGGAUAAAAGAUCUAGAUAUAUCAAAAACUACUUUUAAAACUUGGUAAGAACAUUUUAAUUUCUUGAUAAUGCCAUUUCAAUUAACAAAUGCUUCUGACUUAAUGAAUUCUAUUUAAAUAGUUCAGUUGUGGUGUUUUGUCCAAUGAGUGAAGAUCACCUAUUCACUAGAAUGGUUGAGUAACUCGCAGAAAAUAGUUGUUGGGUUUGGUCACCGUGACUCGGGAUGCUUUGGAGUAAAGACUUGACAAUAAAGUCUUUGCCCUUUUGUUUCUAGUUGUGGGACGUGUGGGUUCUUGGUCACUAGCGUAUGUUUCUCCAGUCCUUUGCAGAUAUGUGGGUUGAUUUUCUUCUCAAGGAAACUGAUCAAGAAAGGGAAAAGAGGGAAUCUGGGCAAGAUACAGGUAGACCCCAUGAAGACUCGUAAGGAAGGAGUCCAAAUGCUACUGGGUUAGUUCGUCGGUGCCUAACCAUGGAACUAGCACAUCUGGACCAAAUCUCUCUCCAGCUCAAAAUCAUGGUCCUGUAGCCCCUCGAGAAAAUUUGCUGCCGUUUGCACAUAUUGAUUCCGAGUUCUCAAUAGUUCCUUUAACAUCCUUGGACAAACCUUCUCGGAUUUCAUGACUGCUCACAAAACAUUGAGAAUAUGUUGAAUUAUUAUGUAAUUAAUCAAAGAUAUAGAUUGUUCGUUGGUGUUCAAUCAAUUCUUUCAUAGUGAAAUGAAAAGCGUCUCUUUGCCCCAAAUAGAUAUCUCGUGGUCGUUCUCCAAUGUUAGCAUGCUGUCACAUAAUAAUAACAGUACAAUCUCUUCAUGUGUUUGUUUAAAUCACAAAAAAAAAAAAGUGUUUUUUAAAGGAGAAAACGUGAUUUAUUUCAUGAGAGACCCACCAUAUUAGGUGGUUAAAAUGCAGGUAAGUAGCGUGAUUUAUUUCACGCUUCUUCUCUCUGCCUUCAUUAUUCUGGCCAAACCAGUUCCGGUCUAAAUUUUAUUCUUUAUUGUUUCAGCUAGACUGAAUUCAGUAAAAAGAAAUUUAAUUUUUUUUAAAUUGAGUUUUACUUGAAAAAUUAGUGUUUAAUAUUAUUCAAUAACAAUAUAUAAGUUAGAAGGAGAUCGCAUGAUGACAUAGUAUUUGCAGAAUUUGAUCGCAAUCCCAAUUUGGUUCCUAAUGAUAUUUUACCUGACUUUACUGCACGCUCAAAAAAACCAUGGAAACUAUAGUACUUAUCGGAUGAAUUUCGUAUGUAAUGGAAUUGUAGAUAGGUUAAUUGAACAAUAAAAAAUAUUUGAUAGAAAAGUAUUAUUUAUUUAAUGAUGUAAUAAUAGUAGUUACAUCUAUAAUAUUUAAAUUAAAAAUCAUCAAUAUUAAUAUAUAUUUUUUUUAGUUAUUUUAUAAUCUCAAUUUGAAAAGUAUUUUUUACCAAACUCAUUAAAUUACUUUUUAUUCAAUCUUAAUUUCAACCACAAUUUAACUAAACAUAUAUAAAUAUCAAAUUAAUCUUAACAAAAAAUAUUUUUUAUAAAAUAAUUUUUCUUCAAACCACACCAAUAAAAGGUACCGCAAUACCAAGAAGAAUAAUGUAUACUGCAAUCCAAAUUAACUCAGCCAGUUGUAAUGUCCACAAAUCCCGAACCACUAGAUCCUAUCUAGCGUGCUUCUAAAACAUAUCCAAAUUUAAUAAUUUUUCUUCUUAAAGCAAGUUGGUCAAGGUAUGCUGUUUAGUUAUACUCAAUGUUUCAUUUUAUAAGUGCUUGUUUGUUCAAUAUCUGCAUUUAAAGUGAUGUUUGUUUCGCGGAAUGUUAUUUUUCUCAUUGGCAAUUACACUCGUGGAAAAGUGAUUCCUAAGAAUGUCCACAAUAUUUAAAGUAAAUUAACAUUUAUCCUUUAUUAUUGAUAUCAUAUAAAUUCUUAAUAACGUCUAAUUAAUUGUGCUAAUAAAUUAAAAUAAAUAAUGUGCACUAGUUAAAAGAGAUCUCUAUGAUUUUGUAAUAAAAAAAAAUAGAAAAAUCUGAUUCCAUUGAUAGAGUUUAAUGAUUAUUUAUUUUUCAAAAAUGAACUUAUUGAUAGUUUUUUCAAUAUUCAUUUACUAGAUUUGCAAGAUUUUGUUGAUGUAUUUUAAUUUGGAAACCUGCAAAGUUCUUUCGUUUUGAAAGGGAAAAGGUAUAAAUGAGUGAAGGAUGGUCCGGAGGAAAGUUAAGGAUUGACAUUAGCAAAUUUUAAUAUUCAUUUACUUAAUUAAUGAAACUACGUUACACAAUCUCUUACCUAUACCUUCUUCCGUUGAAUAGCAUAAAAGACCAAAUGCCACUGCCAAUGAAAGGGCUUUUGACUCAUCUUGGAAACGUAUUUCUUCCAUUCCUGGCAACAGAUCUCAGAAGCAGUUCGAGUGAAAUGAUUAAACUUUAUAAAUUUUUGGGUAGGGAUGGUAAUUUAUGAAUCGGCUUUGAAACUAAUUUUACUUGUUCUCGAACAAAAAAUUACUAUUUAUACCCGAUUUGAAAUCCAAUGAGAAUGGAUUUUUUUAUACCAAACCCUAUUAGGUUUCGAGUAUUUUGUUGGGUAAUGGGUGCACGACUUUGCAUAUAUUGAGAUAAUGUUUAAUUAUUGUUCUAAAACAAUAAAGAUAAGAUAUAAAAUAGACGAAGAUAAAUUAUGUUUGGUAAUAAUAUAUAAGAUAAAAUACUUGUUUUUGUAUCCUAUUUGGUGAGGAUCAAACUUAUAAGAAUAAAAGUUAUUAUUAUUAUAAUUUUAAAACCCGACUCAGGAGUAAACUGGGGCAGGGUUCAUGUCACAUGUUAGGAGGGAUAAUACAGGUUGACCCGAGUUAAUGUAUGAAUAAAAGAGGUUAUUAUUAUAAUUUUAAAACCGUGCUCGGGAGUCUACUUUAGACAAGGUUCAAUUCAUAGAUCGAGAGGGCCAACCCGAUUGACCCUUUUUUUUUUUUCUAAAUAAUCACAACAACCUUUUUUUGAACAAAAAAGUUUUUCAAAAAAGUCAAAGGAUCUUUGGCCCUUAUUGUAUCCUACGUUUCUUACCAGGUCAGGUUAAGUCAAUUCUUCUUCUAUUUGUUUUUUUAACUAGGAUUAGUUCAGGCCUUUGGUGAACCAAUCAAGUCAAUCCUGGUUUUAUAAUUAGAGUUAUUAUAAUAUUAUCGACUUCAACACUUCAUAUAAAAUAAAGUAAAAAAAUAUUAACUAAUUAUCUUUUAAAAUAUAUAAGUUUAACAACAAUACAUAUUAAAGAUAAAAUAGAUUUUUUAUAUUUUAUUUUGUCUUAUAACCAUAACCAUUUUCCCAGGUUGACCUCCAAAACAAGUUUUAAAACUAUAAUAAUAACUAUUUUUAUUUUAUAUUAACCUAGGUCAACAUAGGUUGACCCUUCUGAUAUGUGAUUCGGGUCUUACUCAGGGUUAAUCCUUCGAGUUGGGUUUUAUAACUAUGUUAAUAACCAUUUUUGUUCUUAUGUUGACCCGAGUCAACGGUCAAUCCCUCUUGUUAUUUGAGUCUUGCCUCGGGUUGAUUCCUGAAUCGGGUUUUGAAACUAUGAUAAUAAUUAUUUUUAUUCUUAUGCUAACUUGAAUCAACCCUACUCAUGAUUUGAGCUUUUUCUCGAAUCAAUCAUCGAGUUGAGUUUUAAAACUUUAAUAAUAAUCAUUUUUAUCUUUACACGUUUUAGUUGAACAAUUUGGGAUUGAAAGUUUUUUAUAAUUAUAUUUUAGGAAUAAAAAAUAAAAAUAUAGUCUCUAUAGACAUGUCUAUUGUGUACCUCUUAUUUUGGAAAUAUAGAAAUUCAUUCUAAAAUUAUUUUAGAAAUAGAUUUAUUUUCAUGUUUCCAUCUUUAUCUCUUUAACCAAUCAUAUUUUUAUUUUUACUGUUUUUAUCUCAAGUAUUUAUCUAAAGACAAUGACCAAACUCUAAAAAAAACAAAAAAAACAAAAAAUUAAAGAACAACAAAGUAAAAAAUGGGAGAUCCACUUUUGACUAAUUUAUACACCUACACAAAAAGGAAGUCUUCAUGGAAAACAGGGGCCAUCAACUAACCUAAUUGCAUUUAAAUAGUGUUUUUGAAAUUUCUACAAUUCUACUCUACCUUCUCUCUCCCCCUCUACACACACAAUGAGGUCCACCCAUCCACACAUGCACUAUUUAAUUAUAAAUUUAAUAUUUUAAACUAUUUUUUUUUAUAAAUAUAUCCAAUAAUUAGUAGUUAGAAAUACUUUAGAUCAUACAUAUUUAUUAUAAUAACUUCUAAAAAAUAAUUUUAAAAAAUCUGAUAUAUUUUACUUACAAAAAUAGUUAAAAAAUAUCUUAGAGAAAGCAAACUUUACUUUUUCAUGCAACAAAUAAUAAAUUUGUUCAAUUAAAAAUUAUCUUAAUAUUUUUAUUUAAAAGUAAUGUUAGUUUGGUUAUAUGACUAAUAUAUAUAUAUAUAUAUACAGUAAAAUAUAUAGUUGAAAUAUUAUAAAUCAUAAUUGAGCAUCAGUUUAAAUUUUUGAAUUUGAUUACUUAUAUUUAGUAGCAUUCAAUCUUAAAUUCUAAUAAUUAUAUUUUAACAUUAUAAAAUUAAAAUAUCUUCUAUUUUCUAAAUAAGUAUUGCAACACAAUAUUUGUAAAUUGCUUUUAUCGGGAGAGGUUAUGAAUUUAUUUAAAAUCUAUAUAUAUAACUCAAAUGACUACAUUUAUGCUUGCUUUAUACAAGCUAGGGUCCACUCUCCAGGAUGAAGAUAUUGUCGGUGGAUACAUUUCCAUUUCGAGCAUUAAUUUACUGUUGCCGUCCAUAUCGCUUGACCAUACAAGUUUUACUCUGGUCAACAGUUUUUUUUAUUUUAUUUUAAGGCGGCUGAGAGUAUAAUUAUAAUUAUUUUUUAAAAUAUUUUUUAUUUUUAAAAAAUUAUUUUUGAUAUCAGCGCAUUAAAAUAAUUUAAAAAUAUAUAUAAAAUAUUAAUAUGAAGUAAAGAAAAAAAAUACAAAUUAAAUUAAAUUUUUUCAAAAAUACUUUUGAAACGUAAAAACAAACAUGACUUGAACACUUUCUCUUGCCGCUUUGAGUCUUUUUUUUUUUUUUAAAAAGCUAUUUUAAAUAAUAAAAAAACUAUAUUUUCUUAAAUCUAAGAAUUCAAAUCCUUUCAAUUUAGACGAAGAAAAUAUUAAAUUUAGAUAUAUAAACUCUAUUAAAUAAAAAUUUUCAUUGAAUACUGAUCUUAGAUAGUGUUAUUGCCAAACUCUCUCCAAACUAAAUUCCAUGAAUGUUCAUCUCUCUUCUCCAUCAUUUAAAAUUUAUAGUUCAAAUUAAUUAACAUUUUAUUUAAAAGUAAGAACAUGACUUAGAAUUAUAGAAUAUCUAAUAUAUUUACGUAAUCUAUUAUACGUCAUUUACAGAGGGACAUGGCCAAACACUAGUUUCAAUCUUCAUCCCACUGUCUUGUAAACCAAGCAAUUGUUUAAAGCUUUGACUUGAGAGUUUAAUUUUUCCUACUUCCAGAACAGUUUGGUUUUUUCUUUCUUGGUAGAUAUUAUCCUUUAAUUUUUUUUUUUUUUUUUGCUCUUGAUCUUGAUCCAACGGCACUAGCAAACUGUGACACUUCUCCUAUAAAAGCAGUCCUAAGCCCUCACAAAUAAUCACAACACACCAGCUUUCUCAAUCCAUAUUUCUUCACUAUGAGUCGUUUUUCUUACUUAUCGUCGUUUCCCUGCUUCCUUCUUUUUGCCCAUUUCUUCACCUUCAGCAACGCAGCUACUUUUGAAAUCCGUAACCAAUGCGCUUACACUGUCUGGGCCGCGGCUGUUCCCGGUGGUGGCCGAAGACUCGACCGAGACCAGUCAUGGACCAUCACCGCCAAUGCCGGAACAACACAAGCCCGUAUUUGGGGACGGACCAAGUGCAAUUUCGAUGGGGCUGGGCGAGGGACGUGCGAGACAGGUGAUUGCAAUGGGCUCUUGCAAUGCCAAGCCUUCGGGAAACCCCCUAACACACUGGCUGAAUAUGCCUUGAACCAGUUCAACAACUUGGAUUUCUUCGACAUAUCUCUUGUUGAUGGAUUUAAUGUUCCUAUGGACUUCAGUCCAGUAUCAGGCAACUGCCGUGGAAUUAGGUGCGCAGCUGAUAUCAAUGGACAGUGCCCGAAUCAGCUCAGGGUCAGCGGAGGCUGCAACAAUCCUUGCACUGUCUUCAGGACAGAUCAAUACUGUUGCAAUUCUGGCAACUGUGGCCCAACAGAUUACUCGAGGUUUUUCAAGCAGAGGUGCCCUGACGCUUAUAGUUAUCCUAAAGAUGACCAAACAAGCACCUUCACCUGUCCCGGUGGAACUAAUUACAGGGUUGUAUUCUGCCCUUGAAGCAGUUUUAAGCCAGGAAUCUAAUGGUGUAAAAUGAGAAUAAGGACCAUUGCUCGAUUCACUUCUGACGGUGUGAAUUGCUGCCAAGGUCACAUGCUUUAUUAUAAUGAAAAUCUACUACAAUAUUAACAGUGGAAAGACCCUUUAUUUGCUCUAGCUGUUAAAUACCCAGAGAAAGUG
rnacentral:lncRNA from 1 species